rnacentral:rRNA from 1 species
GACAGAGGUGCCGAGCGUUGUCCGGAAUCAUUGGGCGUAAAGCGCGCGUAGGUGGCCCCAUAAGUCCGCUGUGAAAGUCAAAGGCUCAACCUUUGAAAGCCGGUGGAUACUGUGGGACUAGAGUACGGAAGAGGCGAGUGGAAUUCCUGGUGUAGCGGUGGAAUGCGCAGAUAUCAGGAGGAACACCAAUAGCGAAGGCGGCAUCCUGGACCGAGAUUGACGCUGAUGCGCGAAAGCCAGGGGAGCAAACGGG